AAAAUUUAAAAUAAAAAUACUAAAAUAGUAAAUAAAUAUUUAUUGAAACUUAAAUAAUUUGGCGGUAUUUUAGUUCAUUUAGAGGAAUCUGUUUAAUAAUUGAUAUUCCACGAAUAAAUUUACUUAAUUUAUAAUUUUGUAUAUCGUUGUUAUAAAAAUAUUUUUUAAUAAAAUUAAUAUUUAAAAAUUAAUAAAAUAAAUUAAAUCAGAUCAAGAUGCAGAUUAUAAUUAAGAAUAUAAUGGAUUACAAUAAAUUUAUUUAGAUGAAUUUUAAUUUGUAAUAUUUAAUUGAAGGUGGAUUUAAAUGUAAUUUUAUUUAAUUUAAUAAAAUGAUUAAAAAUUAAAAUAUGC
rnacentral:rRNA from 2 species